GGUAGUCUAUAACAAAUGUUUAUAUCAUCAAAGGAUUGUGAAUAGAGGAGAUUUGUGAUUGUAAAUAGUUUUGUUUCUCGUAAAAUAUCAAAUGUGUGAAUGCUCCUCUAUUCCAAGGCCACUUUGAUUCAAAUACUCAUACAAAUGACAUUUCUUUUGUAAUUCGGCCCCAUGAGUCAUGACACUUUGUUUAUUGCAUUGGUAACUAUUGAUUUGCCGCAUGUAUUCCUUUUAACACCUGACUUGUUGCAUGUAUUUUCCAUGAGUCAUACACUUAGUUUAUUGUAUGGAUAACACUAGAUUGCUAAUGUAUUCCUCUUGACACUUGGAUUCUUGCAUGUAUUCCUCAUUAAUAUGACACUUGGUUAUUGCAUGGGUAACACUUGACUUGUUGCAUGCAAUCAUCUUGAUACUUGGCUUGUUGCAUGUAUUCCUCAUGAAUCAUGACAUUUGGUUUAUUUCCUGGGUAACACUUGGCUUGAUGCAUGUAUUCCUCUUGACACUUGACUUGUUUGUAUGUAUUCCUCAUGAGUCAUGUCACUUGGUUCAUGAGGAAUACAUGCAACAAACCAAGUGUAAAGAUGAAUGCAUGCAACAAGACAAGUGUAACCCAUGCAAUAAACCAAGUGUCAUGACAUGGUCUUUCGUUUUGCUGAAGGACAAAGAAAAAUAAAAUUAUCAUUUUAACAUUUUCACUACAAGAAACAUUACCUUUUGCCAGGGGCAAAAUCCCUGUCAAAAGGACAUAAUCCCUGGGAAACGCGACAUUUGUGAGGGAAAAAGCCAGGGGCAGAUGGCCUCGCAAAAGCAGUCAUCGCAAACACUUUGCCAAGGGCUACACCCCUGACAAAAAAACGAGGGGCUGAACCCCUAGUAUAUCGCCAGGCUUUACCCCUGGCAGAACCCCUGGCAUGUUCCCUCACUUUCGUCUGCAGCUUUCCUGCACCUCUGACUACGAUUGACCUCUGACUGCGGCGGCUUUGACUGAAGUGACUGAAGGAAAGCAAGUCAGAACAGCAAAAAACCAGGGACAUGCGAGGGGUUUAACCCCUGGCAAACAUCCUUAUUUUUUUUUUUAAAUAUUAUAUUUAUCGAAAAGUAUUUAUUAUUAAUUAAUAAAAUAUAUUUAAAUUAAUUUAAAAAUCGAUUUUUUUUAAAAUUGUUUUUGUAAUACAAUUAAAUGGUUAAAAAGCAAUUUAAUUAAAAAAUAUAUAUUUAAAAAAAAUUAAAAAUAUUUUUAAAACACAAUUAAAUGCAUAUAAAUAAAGUUUAAUCACACAAACACUAAUAAGUCUAAUUAAUAGGCAUGAAAUAGAAAGUGUACUUAAUAAUAUUACAAACCGUGCAGGAAAAUAAAUAUUGUGCCGAGAAGCAUGGAAAACCUCCCAAAGUCAUACAAACCAUAACAUAAUAGUAAAGAAAACACACAACCAUGACAGAUUUAGUUUAACAAACAAUUUAACUUUUAAAACAAUAUUCCCUAAUUAUUUUAUCUUAAAACAGUACCGAAAUGGACACUUGCCUAAAAUUAAUUAAACUAGUCCUAUUUUCUUUCGUAUUUUUCUUUAAAACAAUUAAAGUUUAUUAUUAAAAAAAAAAACAGAAUACAUAUAAGCAAUUAUUGUUUGACCAUAUUUUUUUUAACAUUCUACUACAACAUGCAUAUAUUUCAUUUUAUCACAAAAAAAAAACAGCAUGCAAAUAUUUCAUUUCAUCACAAUAAAUUAAAACAACAUGCAUAUAUAUUUCAUUUGAUCACAAAAAAAAAAAACAUGCAUAUGUAUAAUUCAUUUUAUCACAACAAAAACAUGCAUUUCAUUUCAUCACAAAAAAAAAAAAAAUGGAUAUAUUUUGAAAAUUACCAACAUUCAUGCAUAAUAAUAUUAAAAAACGAAAAUAAAAUUAUCAUGAUAUUAUUUUUUUUUCCAGAUUUUCGAAAAAAAAAAUACUUUAUCAAACAAUCAGCAUAUUUUACAUACAACACAUCAUCAACAUGUAUAUCAGUUAUAGUAUUAUGAGGAAAAAAUAUCACUAACUUGUUGAAGCUUUACAAUAGAAGAUCUGCAAUGCAAUCCAAAAACAGCAAGAGUUGCAGCAAUAGCUAACAACAGGAGGCGGAUAAAUAAAACAGCUGCAAAUAACAUACAAAAUAAAUAACAUUAAUAAGUAGUAAAAUUUAACAUCAUGAUAAAACAUAUAACAAAUGAAUAAUUUUUUUACCAAAUAAUAGAAGUUUGAUGAAUGUUUUGUAUGAAGGUGUUGUGUUUUAAGAGAAGAAAAAUUUCUAAGGGUUCUAUGAAAGUUAAAACCGGUGCUUCUCUUAUAUAGGGAAGGGAAAAAACCAGGGCCUUUCCCAGGGACACGUCCGUCGGAUAUAUGGUCAAAUCCUAGCUUACGUAGGCGCAGAAGUAGGUGCAGAACGGGUUGGAAAAACCGACGGAAUUGAGCAAUAACCGAGGGGUUACGCCCCUGGCAGGCCUGCGUCGGACAGCUUUUGGCAGGCCCUUGUCAACUCAACUGGAACAAAGCAGGGAAUCCCUUGAAUUUCGGAAACCGAGGGGCAGUUCCCUGGCUUUUUCCGUCGGUUUUCUCUGACAUAGCAGAGAUUCCCUUAGAUUUUCAAAAUUCAAACUGGCGCCUAAAAUAAAGCCAGGGAUUUUGACAAAAAGCGAGGGGCAAAUCCCUGUCUUUUGUGCCACCAGUUUUCCUUGGUAUUUUCCCUGACAAAUUUGCCAGGGGUAUCAAACCCUUGUCAAAAUCCCUGGCAAAAGGUCAUUAUUCUUGUAGUGUUUGAGAUGCUAGAGUUUUGGUGCCAAUGAACAAAACAAUGUAAAAUUGUAGGACUUUCUUAGGAUUUUAUGGCAUAACUUUCUUUCUUUUAUAUAAUUAAGAUUAAGAGAUAAGAUAUAAAUCUAUGUCAAACAAUGGUCAAUGAAGCUUUGAUGCCAUAUGUAACACCACUUCACUUCAUAUCAAUUUGAUGUCGAAUGUCUGAAUGUCUGAAGUUAGUUUGCAUAUGUCAUUUUCUCAAAUUCAAAUAAAUUAAAGGUGGAUUUUCUCACCCUAAAAUCAAGGACUAAAAUGAAUAUUAUAAGAACAAAAUUUGAUAUGAAGCUAUAUCUGAGGGACAUCUAAAACAAAAAUCAAGGACCAAAAUUACAAUUAUGGUAUUUUUGCAAGGACUAAAAUUUUUUAUGGGGAUUGAAAGUAAAAAAUGGUAUAUUUAAGGAAUUAAAAUCAAAUUUAAACCUUUUAUUUAAUACUUAUUUGUUUAACCUUUUAAAAGGAAGAUAAAUUUUGUAACUAUUGUACAACCAAUCGCUCAAAACAUUUAUUUUGUACGUAAAACUCUAAUUGCGGAUGUCCUUUAGAUUAUAAUUCAAGCAGAUAAAUAGAAUUCUUUUUUCAAGGAAAAUAAAUAGAUUUUUUUUUUAACAAAAAAAUGAAUAGAAUUCUUAUUUACUAUAAUAACUAAUUAGCUAGCUAGAACCUAUAAAUAGGUUUAUUUUAAAUGCAUGCUUUUAUUUUCAUUAAUUAGUCAUCUUCAGAUUUAAACAAAUACAUGAAAAAUAUGACUAAAAUUGUGUAUUUUAAGUUUAACCACAUACCUUAUCAAUCCUAUCGUCAGGUCUCGACCAUUCUUCAACAUCUAAAUUGUCAGUCCAUUCAUCGUGAACGUUCUUGGACAUCCCAAUUGCAAAUCCAUUCAAGUGAAAGUGUUUUUGGGUGUCUAGGCUUCCUUGAAGAAGUAGUACGCGGACUAACAAUCUAAAUCCAUAUUUGGUUAGAAAUCUAUCAGUAAAAUAAUAAAAAUAUAUUGAUAAAAUAUUGAUAAGUAUAAAAAGGUCAUGAUUACAACCUUUUAAAAAAAAAUACAAAAUCAUGUCAUCAUUUAUGUGCACAUUUUUACUCAUAUUUAAUCAAAGAAAUCACAGUUGUUGAAAAUUAUUAUAAAAAAUAUAAAACAUAGCACAACAAAUAAGAAGUAGAAAUAUAAGACUUCGUUGAUGAUUUUCGUUCAAUCACAAUUGUGAUGAUACUCCAUUAAGUUUUGAUUCGAUGCUCAUAGAUCUAGUAGAGAAAAACAACAUAAGAUCAAUAAGAGAAAAUAAACUAAAAAAUAAAAGGCUUAAUUGCACUUUUCCCCCCUAUCUUUUGCUAAUUGUGCGAUUUUGCACCCCCUCUUUUUUUUUGAGCAAUUUUGCACCUCAUCUUUUUGCCCCCUUUAUGAUUUUGCACCCCAUCUUUGUGUUCAAUUGCACUUUUGCCCCUUAUCUUUUUGCUAAUUGUGCGAUUUUGCACCUUCUCUUCUUUUUUUUUGAGCGAUUUUGCACCCUAUCUUUAGCCCCUUUUCCUCUCUUUUAAUGAUGAUUUUGAACAAAACACAAUUGACAAAAGAUGGAGUGCAAAAUCGCUCAAAAAAAAAGAGGGGGUGCAAAAUCGCACAAUUAGCAAAAGAUAGGGGGGAAAAGUGCAAUUAAGCCAAAAUAAAAAACAUUAGUGAAAGAAAUAAUUUAUAACAUGAAAUUUGUCGUAUAUAUAAGAGAUAACAACCUGGGUUGAAUAAAUUCGCAA
rnacentral:lncRNA from 1 species